CUUAGGCCGGGGCUUGGGCUGGGGGUCCCGGGGCGGGGCCGGGCCGAGGGGGCCGAAGUGCGCUGCAACUCUGAGCCCCGCCCCAGAGCUGCAAAUCUAGAGUGGCGGAGGGAGCGUGCGCACACGCCCCACAGACCCUGAGUUUGGGAUGCGGAAGGUUUGGGUGCCCUCCCGGCCCCACCCGGUGCACGAGCUCACGCCGGCGGCGGACCCGGAACUGGUGCCUACAGCCGGCCAAGUGCGGGCAGGCCCUGCGCCGAGAGCGCCCAGCGAGCGGAACCUGACUUGGAGUCCCAGCGCUGCUGCUUUCUCCAGAGGGACUUGGAGCACGUCACUCCACCUGAGCUGGGUCUGAUCCUCAGAAUUCAAGAGCUUCAGGCUACCUUUUUUAUUGAGUACCUGCUGAGUACCAGGCACGAAAAGAUGACAGGUGACUUAAAGAUCCCUGCCUUGGUCGCUACCAGGAUAGUUGUGAGGAUGACAAAGCAUUACCUUGGUGAAUACAAGUCGAAGGAGCUCUACACCAUCAUUGCUUGAAGGUUCUGCAGGUAUCUGAAGUUUGGACAAAGAUCACAUAGCUGCUUCAGCAGAGAGCCAGAAUUUGGAUGGAGUGGAGGAAAAGGACCCACUGAAGCAAGAUUUCCUAGGGCCUUGAAGUCAAGGCCCUUAGUCCAGGCUCCUGCUUACCAACUCUGUGAACCCAGGUGACCACUUUGAGACAGGAUGUCUGCAUGGAUUCAGCAGCAGCAAGGCCUGGACUAUCUCUGAGGGCUGGCUGGCUGACAACUCCCGGGUCACAGCACCUCAUCAGGCACACCAGCCAUUCCACAGCAUCUUCGCAGCAGCCUCUGGAGAGAUUCUGACAUAUUCUUCAGCUGACCAGGCGAGAUCCCCACUUAUAAAAGCUUCCAGACCUCUGCAGUCAUUUCCCCCCUCUUCACCCCCUUAGGGCCCUUUUCCAUCUAGCUCUAUUUCUCCAGGAACAAGACAGAAAAGACUGUUUUGAGCAAG
rnacentral:lncRNA from 1 species